rnacentral:rRNA from 1 species
GAUGAACGCUGGCGGCGUGCCUAAUACAUGCAAGUCGAGCGGACGGACGAGAAGCUUGCGUCUCUGAUGUUAGCGGCUGACGGGUGAGUAACACGUGGAUAACCUACCUAUAAUACUUGGAGAACUUCGGGAAACCGGAUCUAAUACCGGAUGAUAUUUUGAACCGCAUGGUUCAAAAGUGAAACACGGUCUUGCUGUCACUUAUAGAUGGAUCCGCGCUGGAUUAGCUAGUUGGUAAGGUAACGGCUUACCAAGGCAACGAUGCAUAGCCGACCUGAGAGGGUGAUCGGCCACACUGGAACUGAGACACGGUCCAGACUCCUACGGGAGGCAGCAGUAGGGAAUAUUCCGCAAUGGGCGAAAGCCUGACGCAGCCACGCCGCGUGAGUGAUGAAGGUCUUCGGAUUGUAAAACUCUUUUAUUAGGGAAGAACAUCUGUGUAUGUAACCGUGCACAUCUUGACGGUACCUAAUCAGAAAGCAACGGCUAACUACGUG